rnacentral:rRNA from 1 species
UACGGAGGAUGCGAGCGUUAUCCGGAUUUAUUGGGUUUAAAGGGUGCGUAGGCGGAUCGUUAAGUCAGUGGUCAAAUUGAGGGGCUCAACCCCUUCCCGCCAUUGAAACUGGCGAUCUUGAGUGGAAGAGAAGUAUGCGGAAUGCGUGGUGUAGCGGUGAAAUGCAUAGAUAUCACGCAGAACUCCGAUUGUGAAGGCAGCAUACCGGCGCCCUACUGACGCUGAGGCACGAAAGCGUGGGUAUCGAACAGG